rnacentral:rRNA from 1 species
AUUGAACGCUGGCGGCAUGCCUUACACAUGGCAAGUCGAACGGCAGCACGGGAGCAAUCCUGGGUGGCGAGUGGCGAACGGGUGAGUAAUAUAUCGGAACGUGCCCAGUCGUAGGGGAUAACGUAGCGAAAGCUACGCUAAUACCGCAUACGAUCUAUGGAUGAAAGCGGGGGAUCGCAAGACCUCGCGCGAUUGGAGCGGCCGAUAUCAGAUUAGGUAGUUGGUGAGGUAAAGGCUCACCAAGCCGACGAUCUGUAGCUGGUCUGAGAGGACGACCAGCCACACUGGGACUGAGACACGGCCCAGACUCCUACGGGAGGCAGCAGUGGGGAAUUUUGGACAAUGGGCGCAAGCCUGAUCCAGCAAUGCCGCGUGCAGGAUGAAGGCCUUCGGGUUGUAAACUGCUUUUGUACGGAACGAAACGGUGAGCUCUAAUACAGUUUGCUAAUGACGGUACCGUAAGAAUAAGCACCGGCUAACUACGUG